GUGCUCACUUUGGCCACACAUAUACUAAAAAUUGGAAUGAUACAGGGACAUCUAGCAUGGCCCCUGCUCAAGGACGUCAUGCAAAUUCAUGAAGUGUUCCAUAUUUUA
ensembl:snRNA U6 U6 spliceosomal RNA